rnacentral:rRNA from 1 species
UACGUAGGGUGCAAGCGUUAAUCGGAAUUACUGGGCGUAAAGCGUGCGCAGGCGGUGAUGUAAGACAGUUGUGAAAUCCCCGGGCUCAACCUGGGAACUGCAUCUGUGACUGCAUCGCUGGAGUACGGUAGAGGGGGAUGGAAUUCCGCGUGUAGCAGUGAAAUGCGUAGAUAUGCGGAGGAACACCGAUGGCGAAGGCAAUCCCCUGGACCUGUACUGACGCUCAUGC